GUGGGGAAUAUUGGACAAUGGGCGAAAGCCUGAUCCAGCCAUGCCGCGUGUGUGAAGAAGGUCUUCGGAUUGUAAAGCACUUUAAGUUGGGAGGAAGGGCAGUAAGUUAAUACCUUGCUGUUUUGACGUUACCGACAGAAUAAGCACCGGCUAACUUCGUGCCAGCAGCCGCGGUAAUACGAAGGGUGCAAGCGUUCAUCGGAAUUACUGGGCGUAAAGCGCGCGUAGGUGGUUUUGUAAGUUGGAGGUGAAAUCCCCGGGCUCAACCUGGGAACUGCAUCCAAAACUGCAUGACUAGAGUACGGUAGAGGGUAGUGGAAUUUCCUGUGUAGCGGUGAACUGCGUAGAUAUAGGAAGGAACACCAGUGGCGAAGGCGACUACCUGGACUGAUACUGACACUGAGGUGCGAAAGCGUGGGGAGCAAACAGGAUUAGAAACCCUGGUAGUCC
rnacentral:rRNA from 1 species